CGUGGGCUGUACUUCAUUGGCUCGAUGGCGGAGGAAAAAUUAGAAGAAUCUUGUACUGGUGGAGUAAAGACAUCUGCUACUUGCGUCUCUGAAGCUGAAGAGAAAAUGGAUAUUUUUCGAUUUGAGCUGUACGGUGUUCCUGAGUCUUCCCCCAUGGAAUUUUCAUUUGGCUUUUGCGAGCUCAAUGAAGAUGAAACCGAUUUCUGUAAAUCCAGUUUUUUGGCUGAAAUGAUCUCAAUGUGAUCAUUGGUAAGACUGUUCUGGCCCCUGAGAAUGAUCUCCUGCUGUUUACUCGCUUGGAUGAUUUUUUUUCCUUUGUUGUAACUACCGAUAGUUGAGACCGAAGGAGAGAAAUUUUCUAAGUGCUCUGUUCCUUCAUACUGCCCACUAUCUGUUUGAUAAAAUGCCUGACUAUUCCAUUGUUACUAUUAAACUCUGCUAUGAUCCAUGGUCUAUACUUUAGUCUUGUAACACUUGUUCUUGUGGUGAGACUUUUUAUAAAAGAUUUUAGAAA